GGGGAUGUGGCUCAGUGGUGAAGGGCUUGCUAAGAUAGCAAGGGCCUGGGUUCAUUCCCAGCAUAGCCA
rfam:Ictidomys tridecemlineatus contig051723, whole genome shotgun sequence.